rnacentral:rRNA from 1 species
CCUACGGGAGGCAGCAGUGGGGAAUAUUGGACAAUGGGGGGAACCCUGAUCCAGCCAUGCCGCGUGUGUGAAGAAGGCCCUCGGGUUGUAAAGCACUUUCAGUGAGGAAGAACGCCUGGUGGUUAAUACCCAUCAGGAAAGACAUCACUCACAGAAGAAGCACCGGCUAACUCCGUGCCAGCAGCCGCGGUAAUACGGAGGGUGCGAGCGUUAAUCGGAAUUACUGGGCGUAAAGCGCGCGUAGGUGGCUUGAUAAGUCGGUUGUGAAAGCCCCGGGCUCAACCUGGGAACGGCAUCCGGAACUGUCAAGCUAGAGUGCAGGAGAGGAAGGUAGAAUUCCCGGUGUAGCGGUGAAAUGCGUAGAGAUCGGGAGGAAUACCAGUGGCGAAGGCGGCCUUCUGGACUGACACUGACACUGAGGUGCGAAAGCGUGGGUAGCAAACAGGAUUAGAUACCCUAGUAGUC